UCAUUAAUUUUCAGCCUAAAGACCAUUUUUAGAUCUGCGGCCCAGUAUUCCUUCUAGUGCUAUGUAUUGAUAAAAAAAAAAUUAAUCUACUUUUUUCAUGAAAACUUAAAACACCUUUCCUAAACCCUCAAAGCAUUUGCCGCCUCCAUCAUCUAUCUUCAUUGUCACCCUCGAUUUCUCAUCAUUCUCAGUUGCAAUUGGAGACUCCAUUCAAGGCAAGAUCGAUCUGUGGUUAAUCAUGGUGUUUGCUUGUGUUUAUACCAACUUAUGGCGAAUUUGCUUGAUUAAACCUCUGUUUUUUUGGUACUUCUCUCUUAUUCUCCAAUUGCUUACAUGACACAAACUGGGACUAUAUUCACCAAUUUUGACAUUUGGGUUUUCCAUGUCAAGGUGAGCCUUCUGUAUUAAUUCACCUUUUUUCGUCUUUAGCAGCUUGCCAACUUAACUGGUGUGAAGGAUGACUUGGUUGGGAGGAAGGGAUAUAGAUAGGAAAGAUGUAGUAGCAGAAUUAGUCAAAUAAUCUAAACUCACUUUAGUUUUAUAGUGUUUAUAGACAUCUAACAUAACUUACAUUUAAGUUUUUAUUAUGUUGGUAUCAUGAUUUCACCUACUCAUUGUUUCAUUUGGCAAUUUCUGCUGGAAAUAUUGUUAACCUAAGACAAAAUGUUCUAUUUUGUUUAUUCUAUAGAUGUUUCUUGAAGGUUCUAGACUGCAGUGAAGCACUGAUGCUUGGUAUUUUUCUUUAUUUCAAUUUUGGUGACUUGGGUAUUUUUAUUUCGUGGUUGUCUUAACUCAAUUUUUGUCCCCUGUUUCUUGAAACUUUAGGUAAUGUUUUUUUUAUAUAGAUGUUUUAUAUAAUCAUGACGUUUGUUAAGGUAUGAAAAAUGGGAAAUUUGCAACAUUAAAUCAUGUCAUCCAAAUGUAUUAUUUAUUUUCCGGUAUGUUUCACUAUCAUUAUUAUUAUUUUUUCUUGUAGAUUUAGUGAAUAUAUGGUUUAAAAGUUAACUAAUAUAUGGUUUAACAUUUUAAGAAGUUCUUGAAAAAUCUCGGAAGGAGCCAAAGAACGCAAAAAAGGAAGCAUACAACAUUGGAUCUUCUAGCUUGAUCAGGGGUGAUGAGGAUUCUAGUAAUUUAUUUUUCCAGGUGAUAAGGACUCAAGUACCGAGGACGCAUCCCCGUCUUUCACUAUAACAUAUCGACGAUUUCAACUACUGUAUUCACAGUCACUAGGUUGCGCAGAAAAAGUGUACAUUGUUAUCUCCCUUGUAUAUGAAACAAAGUAACUAUAAAUUUGGUUAGUUUAGAGCGUACUUAGGAUUAUUAGGCAAAUUAAAUGUUAGGAUGCUCCUUUGUAAUACUUGUAAUAAGUACUUGUUAUAUCUACGGAAAAGUUUAC